AUAAGAUAAAGCUGAUGCGGGCGAAUCAUCUACACGGAUACCUGUGGAAAUUCUAGAGCUAAUACGUGCCGAAAAUGCUUUUCAAGCAACGUAUAUUGGUUUGGUCAACAACUUUGGGACGAAAAUUAUGCAGUAGAUUGCAAAGAUACGUCUGGCAACGACCCGCUUGGUUUUCUGACCUAUCAGCUGUCGACGGUUGGGUCUUGGCCAACCGUGGCAUUGACGGGUAACGGGGAAUUAGGGUUUGAUUCCGGAGAAGGAGCAUGAGAAACGGCUCCUACAUCUAAGGAAGGCAGCAGGCGCGUAAAUUACCCAAUCCUGACGAAGGGAGGUAGUGACAAGAAUUAUCGAUGCAAGGCAUAUUGCUUUGUAAUUGGAAUGGGUGGCGUCAAAAGCUCGCCACGAGUAUCGAUUGGAGGGCAAGUCUGGUGCCAGCAGCCGCGGUAAUUCCAGCUCCAAUAGCGUAUACUAAAUUUGUUGCAGUUAAAACGCUCGUAGUUGAAUAUUAAUAGGGUGAGCGGUUCGAGGCUCUAUGAGCCAACGUCUGCUUUGCCCUUAAGCGGUUUGUUCGCAGACCGCUUUGUUACCUUGAAUAAAUUGAAACGCUCCAGGUAAUAUCAAAUUGCACAAUUCUGCAUGAGAUAACGAAUUCGUUAAAUGUUCUCGUUGGUCGGAAUGUUUAACGGCGAUUAAGAGGAGUAUCCAGGAGUAUGCGUACUCGGCGGCCAGAGGUGAAAUUCUUAGACCCGCUGAAGACGAACAGCUGCGAAGGCGUUUACUUGAGAUGCUUUCAUUAAUCAAGAACCGAAGUUGGGGGAUUGAAGACGAUCAGAUACCGUCGUAGUCUCAACCGUAAACUGUGCCAACAAGCUGUCAGAAGAUUCCUUUCUUGGGUCUUUUGGUGGCUUUCGAGAAAUCAAAGUCUUUGGGUUCUGGGGGGAGUAUUGUCGCAAGUCUUGAAACUUAAAGGAAUUGACGGAAGGGCACCCCAAGGGGUGGAGCUUGCGGCUUAAUUUGACUCAACGCGGGAAAACUUACCAGGGCCGGACAAAAGUAGGAUUGACAGGUCUGAAGUUCUUUCAUGAUUUUUUGGUUAGUGGUGCAUGGCCGUUCUUAGUUGGUGGAGUGAUUUGUCAGGUUAAUUCCGGUAACGAACGAGACUUUGGCCUGCUAAUUGACGCCUUUGCCGUGGCAAAGCUCUGUCACUUAGAGGGACUUUGUAAUUUCAACGCAAGGAAGCUCGAAGCUAUAACAGGUCUGUGAUGCCCUUAGAUGUCCUGGGCUGCACGCGCGCUACAUUGGUAAAAGCAAAGUGAGUUCGCUUCUAAAGAAGCGGCAAAGCGUUGCAAAUUUUAUCUUCUUGGGGACUGACGCUUGAAAUUGUUUGUCACUAACGAGGAAUACCUUGUAAAUGCAGGUCAUCAUCCUGCUUUGAAUACGUCCCUGCCCUUUGUACACACCGCCCGUCGCCUCAAUCGACUGAACAUUUUGGUGAAUUUUCCGGAGGAACUAGGAGGGGCAACCCUCUAAGCUUCCAAUGUUUUGUGAACCGUCAUGUUUGAAGAAUGAGAAAGUCGUAACACGGUAUCU
rnacentral:rRNA from 1 species